GAGCCGUGUGGGCACACCCUUCUCCUGACCAGCUGCAUGGAGUCAGGACAGCCUCAUCUCCCCAGGCAUGUGUUUCCCUAGUGUGGCGAGAGCAGAAGAUGAGCCAGCUGGGAAAACACCCUCUCUUCUGCAUCCUGCCCCAGAUUGACAAGGGAUGAGUUUGUGCUGUAGAGUUCUGGCACCACCCGAGGAAGUGGAUAAUAAUAUGCUCCCUGUUCUCAGGGGCUGGCUGGGCCAAAACUUUCUCUUUUUUUUUUUUUUUUUUUUCUUGAAAACUACCUUUCCUCUCCUGUCUGUGUACCUGCGGGCCUGAGGCAGCAGUUCUUCUCAUAUCUGCCAACUAUGUCUUCUUUGUGUAGCCCCCAAGGACCGCCGCCGCCACUGUGAAAAGAUCUUGAGUGAUUCACUUGCUGGCCUUGCCUCUCAACGUCAUCGCAGGACACCAAGCAUAACUUCUGUUCUUUCUGUCCUUUCUCUCUGGCAGCAAUUCGAAAAUGUGUUGCUGAUGAGCCUAGUGCGAGGCUGGGGUGUACAGCAGGCCCAUAAGCCGUCGUCAUUGGUGCCUCUGUCUUGCAGAUCGAAGCCAUUUACUACUUUGUGGUGGGGGAUGUUCCAGAGGAGUCCCAGGAGCUGCUUCUCCAGAGGGUUUUGGAAAUCCCAUAUCCAGUCUGCACAGUGUCCUUCAACGCCAAAGGAGAAGAAACCGUAGCUUUCUUAAAAAAGCUGAGCACCGAGACCGACAGCAGAUUCCACGCCUUUGCUGAGAGGACAGAGUGUCUAGAAUUCUCUGCGUUUUCCAUGGAGGAUGUUGACAGUUCAAUGACUUGGAAUUCAAGGAAACUGAAAGGGAGACUCCCUCCAGGUACCUGGAAUCCUGAAGGAGCGGGAUCACUUGUAAUCUUAAUCGUUCCAAGUGGUCUGCAGUACAGUUUGCCAAUAAAGGACAAAGUAGGGACCACC